rnacentral:rRNA from 1 species
GACGAACCGUACGAACGUUAUUCGGAAUCACUGGGCUUAAAGGGUGCGUAGGCUGCGCAGAAAGUUGGGUGUGAAAUCCCUCGGCUCAACCGAGGAACUGCGCCCAAAACUACUGUGCUCGAGGGAGACAGAGGUGAGCGGAACUUAGGGUGGAGCGGUGAAAUGCGUUGAUAUCCUAAGGAACACCGGUGGCGAAAGCGGCUCACUGGGUCUCUUCUGACGCUGAGGCACGAAAGCUAGGGUAGCGAACGGG